GGAGAGGUGGGUGAGUGGCUGAAACCAACAGUUUGCUAAACUGUCGUAGGAGAUUUUCCUACCACGAGUUCGAAUCUCGUCCUCUCCG
rnacentral:tRNA from 1 species